rnacentral:rRNA from 1 species
GCUGGCGGCGCGCCUAACACAUGCAAGUCGAGCGGUGAACCCUGUCUUAUGAUGGGGGGAUCAGCGGCGGACGGGUGCGUAACACGUGGGCAACCUGUCCCAAAGUGGGGGACAACCAUUCGAAAGGAUGGCUAAUACCGCAUGUGCUCGGCAAACUUCGGUUUGUCGAGUAAAGGUCGGUGCUUCGGUACUGGCCGCUUUGGGAGGGGCCCGCGGCCUAUCAGGUAGUUGGUGAGGUAACGGCUCACCAAGCCGAUGACGGGUAGGGGGCGUGAGAGCGUGGCCCCCCACACGGGAACUGAGACACGGUCCCGACGCCUACGGGCGGCAGCAGUGAGGAAUCUUGCGCAAUGGGCGAAAGCCUGACGCAGCGACGCCGCGUGGGGGAUGAAGGCCGUGAGGUCGUAAACCCCUUUUCUGGGGGACGAGGAAGGACGGUACCCCAGGAAUAAGUCCCGGCUAACUACGUGCCAGCAGCCGCGGUAAUACGUAGGGGGCGAGCGUUAUCCGGAUUUACUGGGCGUAAAGCGCGCGCAGGCGGCCAUGUAAGUCGAGCGUGAAAGCUCCCGGCUCAACUGGGAGAGGUCGUUCGAUACUGCGUGGCUUGAGGUCGGGAGAGGAGAGUGGAAUUCCCGGUGUAGCGGUGAAAUGCGCAGAUAUCGGGAGGAACACCAGUGGCGAAGGCGGCUCUCUGGCCCGUACCUGACGCUCAGGCGCGAAAGCGUGGGGAGCGAAGGGGAUUAGAUACCCCCGUAGUCCACGCCCUAAACGAUGGGUGCUAGGUGUGGGUGGUUUAAAAGCCAUCCGUGCCGUAGCUAACGCGUUAAGCACCCCGCCUGGGGA